CUGAACCCUCGCCGGCGACCACCGCCGUCCGCCCGCGCCGCCACAACACCGCAAGCCACGCCCUGUCACCGCCAGCAACCGCUCCAGCCUCAGCCGCCGGCCGCCGCCACUACAAGCCGGACCACCGCCGUCGCCGCUCACGUUCUCCGCGAGUCUCACCACCACCCAGCAUCACGACGACAGCCGUCGCACUGCCGCCCAGUCAAUCCGCUCCGUCGCGCUGCCCUACCCGCCGGCCAGCACCUCCCCUCUCCUCCUUUUGGCGGAGAAUUCUUUGUAGGCGAUUUUUGAAUUCGUUAAAGUGGCCUAUCGGUUUGUUUACACAAGUCUCUAAGGAUCAAUAAGCAUUGUCCAUCUGCAGGUUUGAAGAUGAUGCAUCAUUGGGGAUCGGGAUUAGAGAGCUUGUAGUUAGAUUUGCUUUAUUAAGUGAUUUGGUUUGUUAACUUAAAUUUGAAAUUUGUCGUACUAUUCGUAUUUCCUUAUUUCAGUUAAAUGGGUUUUGGACUAAA